CGCCAGUCCUGGCAGUGUGUUUCCUUAUGUUGCUUUUCUUUCCUUCCUCGCGAGGAAGCCGCACGAGGCUCCGUUAGAUGCAAGCGCAAUGCGCAGCGAAGCGCCCCAGCUAAGGCGCGCGUAAAGAGCCGAGGAUCCGCCCGGAGCCGAAGAGAGAAAGCGGCCAUGGGGAAGAUUUGCCAAUAGAGGUCAGGUGAAUGCUAAAGCGAUUAACACGUGCAUUUUUACACUUUGUUUUUUGAUCAGAUUUUUUUUUUUUUGGCCUGGACAGUAAUGUUGCAAACUUGUUUUCCUAAGCUGGAAUGGUAUGCCCUUUUAAAAAUGUGUGUGUUAUUGGGUUGUUGUUUUUAUUUUGAUUAUGUACUUUGGGGUAUUAUAAUUCUGAUUUUAUCCUGGGAACAGCCCUGAGACCUGUGGAUAUAGGGCGGUACAGUGGUACCUCGGGUUACAUACGCUUCAGGUUACAUGCACUUCAGGUUACAGACUCCGCUAACCCAGAAAUAGUACCUCGGGUUAAGAACUUUGCUUCAGGAUGAGAACAGAAAUCGUGCUCUGGCGGCGCAGCAACAGCGGGAGGCCCCAUUAGCUAAAGUGGUACCUCAGGUUAAGAACAGUUUCAAGUUAAGAACGGACCUCCAGAAUGAAUUAAGUACUUAACCCGAGGUACCACUGUAUAUAAAUUCAAUAAAAAAUAUCCUCCAACCCACUCCUUUUAUCUUAUAACCCCAACAAUAAAGAUUGCAUUGCCGGGGGGGGGGGUCGAUUAGAUGACUCUCAGGGUCGCUUCCAACUCUACAGUUUUGUAGUAUAUACUGUGUAACAAUUUUUAUGUACUAAAAAUAAAAGUGUGUCAGGAUGCAUCCCUGUCACACUUGGGGAGAUUUAUCAAGCUACACUUAAAGAAGUGAGUGAGGCCAGUUGGGCCUUUGUGACCAGGAUGAGCUCUGUGACCAGGCUGGGAUUUAAGAACUCAGCUGGUCUUUCAGGUAUCCUGAUCUCAGGUUCAGGGCUACCACAGUAAGUGUUGACAGAAGUUGAGAGACAUUACAUAGGUUAGACACCAAAAGCAUAGGAAAAACAUGGCCACAGAUGAUUAGAAUUACUUUCCUCUGCGUUAAGGGAUCUGGCCUGGCUGGUAGGAGGCUAUCGUUUCGACAUCUGUCUCGCAGACAAUGGAGUAAGCCUCUGGAGGUGAAGUCAAACCGCUGUGUUAGCAACUCGAAAGUGGCCUCCCUGUGAGAUGCCCAGAGACAAGAGCCCCCUCUCGACCUCACUGAUAAUAAGGUCCAAAGGACAGCAGAGCAAUACUUUUGUAGUAUUUCGUAUAUUGGGGAUACCUUCCCCUUUGACAGCAAUGUCUCACACAGAGUGUAACUGACAUGUAGAAAGGACUCUAUGAACUGAAAACAGAGAUGUUAUGUGUAUCUUUGUUAUCCAUGAAAAUCUUUUAAUAAAAGCAAAUAAUAAAAACCCUGAAAACUGGGGGGAAAUACGUUUGGCACCAGGAGGUGUACAAGGUGCCAUCCAACCAUCUUAGGGACUCCACUCCAGAUGUGUAAGGUUUACGCCUUAGCCUUUUCUCCCCCCAAAUAUAUCCCGCAAGGAAGCAGAGGUUUAGGGUCAGAGUUUUCCUCCUCCUAAGUGGGCUCCCUUCCCAGGUUGACAAGCCCCAUAUGCCCUGCACUCUGGUGCCUUGGCUAGAAUAUUGACUCAGACCUGGGUGAAUCAUGUUCAAAGCCCUGCUCAGUCAUUAAUUUAAUUAGGUAACUAAACAUACUCCCCCCCCCCCCACUAUUUUAUAUCUACAUUCAAAAUACCAGAACCCUCAGCUCUUUUGGCAACUACCCCUCCAGAAGAAUCUCCCUCCCUCGACAAGGCAAGGUCUGGCUUCCUCUCAAGUGAUGUUUUGUUGUUGUUGUUUAGUCGUUUAGUCGUGUCCGACUCUUCGUGACCCCAUGGACCAGAGCACGCCAGGCACUUCUGUCUUCCACUGCCUCCCGCAGUUUGGUCAAACUCAAGUGAUGUUUACUCCCUGGUAAAGUACCCAAUAGACCACAGAGCCUAGGAAUUGCCGAUCAGAAGGUCGGCAGUUCGAAUCCCUGCGACGGGGUGAGCUCCCGUUGCUCAGUCCCUGCUCCUGCCAACCUAGCAGUUUGAAAGCACGUCAAAGUGCAAGUAGAUAAAUAGGUGCCGCUCCGACAGGAAGGUAUACGGCGUUUCCGUGCACUGCUCUGGUUUGCCAGAAGCGGCUUAGUCAUGCUGGCCACAUGACCCGGAAGCUGUAUGGCGGCCCCCUCGGCCAAUAAAGCGAGAUGAGCGCCGCAACCCCAGAGUUGGUCACGACUGGACCUAAUGGUCAGGGGUCCCUUUACCUUUAUGUAAAGUACCCAAUGCAACUUUUCCUUCUUCUCUAGAUCAGUGUCAGAGUCUUGCUCUUAGCCUAUACUGCAACUGUUCCUUUUGUUUCAAGACUCGCUCUCCCUAUUUAUUUUGGAGUAGGGGGAAAUGUCUCUGUUUUGACAUUAGUGCACAUGGAGUUCUAAUUUCAACUUCUUCCUGUUUGUCCCCUCUAGGAUGAUGCAUCUUGAUAAAAGGUUGAACCUGCAAAGCUGUUUUAAAGUUUCUGGGGUUUUAUCAGCCUCCCCUUCCCUCGUGGUUUCCAGGGGGGGAAGGAACUAAUAUUUUGUAGCAAAGAAGCAGAUCCUAAGGGGUCAAUGCAAAAUACAAAAGUCCCAAGAAAUAAUGGCAGCCAUGUGUUAUAAAAAUGUACACUUUAUUACACCUUCAGGUAGGAUACAUCACAAGUCCUUACAAUCCUACUGGUCAAGUACAAAUGUUUUAUGUUCAUAAAGAUAUUUACAAAUUAGACCGGCUUCCUAACACACUUUUUUUGUGAGAGGGAGGGAAGAGGAGGGAGAGACAGAGGGGAAGAGUCUAAUUUUCAUCUUCACUGUCUGUAGAAAUAGACAUUGCUUCUGCUGACACAAUCAAAACCAAACACAGAGGCUGUCAAAAAAAAUGCGGGGUGAGGAGAGAAACCUUUACUUUUUCUUUUCUGUUUACAUUUACACCCCACUGCAUUUAUACACAUAAUAAAGAUAUAAACAUUUUUUUUCAGAAGUAAAACCAGAACUAACUACACUUUUUGGAGGGGGGUGGGGUGGACAUCAGUAUACAGUAUGAAAUAGGCGCAAUGAUCUACCAGGAACCAGCUUCUAUGCAUGACCCAUUCAUCUCCAAAGAGGCUUACGCAAGAAAUAUUCUGGGUGGUUCCCAGCCAACUCGGCUGGUGAGGGCUCAUGGGAGUUGUAGUCCAUAACGUCUGAAGGGUACCAGGUUGGCGAGCCCUCUGCUAACACAAGAGACAUUCCAAGUGGUUCCCAACCAUCUUUUUUUGUGUGUUGCCGUUGCCUUCAGCUUGCAUUUUAAUUCUUCCACUGCCUGUGUAAUAGCAGCAAACACAAACACAAACCAACAAACGUAAUAGUACAAAGCUAUCAAGGGAGGGUUGAUCUGUCUCUACUUCUUUUAUGUACAAACACUUAUUUUUUAUUAAAAAAACCCAAAACAAACAAACACACACAACUGACAAUUGUAAAAACUGAGGUUCCAAGAAAAGCAGGCAUGUUG